GGCAGUAUGGUCCAGUGGUUACGACGACGGAUUUUGACCACGCGGUAUGCGAUCGAAAUUCCGUAUACCUGGGUUCGAACCCCAGUACGGCCU